UAGGGAAUCUUCGGCAAUGGACGAAAGUCUGACCGAGCAACGCCGCGUGAGUGAAGAAGGUUUUCGGAUCGUAAAACUCUGUUGUUAGAGAAGAACAAGGACGUUAGUAACUGAACGUCCCCUGACGGUAUCUAACCAGAAAGCCACGGCUAACUACGUGCCAGCAGCCGCGGUAAUACGUAGGUGGCAAGCGUUGUCCGGAUUUAUUGGGCGUAAAGCGAGCGCAGGCGGUUUCUUAAGUCUGAUGUGAAAGCCCCCGGCUCAACCGGGGAGGGUCAUUGGAAACUGGGAGACUUGAGUGCAGAAGAGGAGAGUGGAAUUCCAUGUGGAGCGGUGAAAUGCGUAGAUAUAUGGAGGAACACCAGUGGCAAAGGCGGCUCUCUGGUCUGUAACUGACGCUGAGGCUCGAAAGCGUGGGGAGCAAACAGG
rnacentral:rRNA from 1 species